rnacentral:rRNA from 1 species
AUUUUGACUGUGCAAAGGUAGCAUAAUCAUUAGUCUUUUAAUUAAGGACUGGUAUGAAUGGUUUAACGAAAUAUUAACUGUCUCAUAGUAAUAAUAUAGAAUUUAACUUUUAAGUCAAAAGGCUUAAAUGUUAUUAGAGGACGAGAAGACCCUAUAGAGCUUUAUUUUAUAUUUUUAAAUUUUAUUUAGAUGUUUAUAAUUUUUAAAUUUUAAAAUAUUUUAUUGGGGUGAUAGGAAGAUGGAAAUAACUCUUUUAAUUAAUUAAACAUUAAUUUAUGAAUAAUUGAUCCAUUAAUAAUGAUUAAAAGAUUAAGUUACCUUAGGGAUAACAGCGUAAUGUUUUUUAAGAGUUCUUACCAACAAAAAAGAUUGCGCCCUCGAUGUUGGAUUAAGGUAAUAAUUGGG